AGGGGGCAGAACAACAGGGAUUGCCCCAGUAACGGCGAGUGAAGCGGCAACAGCUCAAAUUUGAAAUCUGGCCUCCGGGUCCGAGUUGUAAUUUGUAGAGGAUGCUUUUGGCGAGGUGCCUUCCGAGUUCCCUGGAACGGGACGCCAUAGAGGGUGAGAGCCCCGUCUGGUCGGACACCGAGCCUCUGUAAAGCUCCUUCGACGAGUCGAGUAGUUUGGGAAUGCUGCUCAAAAUGGGAGGUAUAUGUCUUCUAAAGCUAAAUAUUGGCCAGAGACCGAUAGCGCACAAGUAGAGUGAUCGAAAGAUGAAAAGCACUUUGAAAAGAGGGUUAAAAAGUACGUGAAAUUGUUGAAAGGGAAGCGCCUAUGACCAGACUUGGGCCCGGUGAAUCAUCCAGCGUUCUCGCUGGUGCACUUUGCCGGGCACAGGCCAGCAUCAGUUUGGCGCGGGGGAAAAAGGUUUUGGGAAUGUGGCUCCCUCGGGAGUGUUAUAGCCCAUUGCGUAAUACCCUGCGCCGGACUGAGGUACGCGCAUCGCAAGGAUGCUGGCGUAAUGGUCAUCAGCGACCCGUCUUGAAACACGGACCAAGGAGUCGUCUUCGUAUGCGAGUGUUCGGGUGUCAAACCCCUACGCGUAAUGAAAGUGAACGCAGGUGAGAGCUUCGGCGCAUCAUCGACCGAUCCUGAUGUUCUCGGAUGGAUUUGAGUAAGAGCAUACGGGGCCGGACCCGAAAGAAGGUGAACUAUGCCUGUAUAGGGUGAAGCCAGAGGAAACUCUGGUGGAGGCUCGCAGCGGUUCUGACGUGCGAAUCGAUCGUCAAAUAUGGGCAUGGGGGCGAAAGACUAAUCGAACCUUCUAGUAGCUGGUUCGCGCAUUUUCUCUCUCCACACGAGCGAGAGAAAAA
rnacentral:rRNA from 1 species